rnacentral:rRNA from 1 species
CAGCAUAUCAAUAAGCGGAGGAAAAGAAACCAACAGGGAUUGCCCUAGUAACGGCGAGUGAAGCGGCAACAGCUCAAAUUUGAAAUCUGGCGUCUUUGGCGUCCGAGUUGUAAUUUGCAGAGGGCGCUUUGGCAUUGGCAGCGGUCCAAGUUCCUUGGAACAGGACGUCACAGAGGGUGAGAAUCCCGUACGUGGUCGCUAGCCUUUACCGUGUAAAGCCCCUUCGACGAGUCGAGUUGUUUGGGAAUGCAGCUCUAAAUGGGAGGUAAAUUUCUUCUAAAGCUAAAUACUGGCCAGAGACCGAUAGCGCACAAGUAGAGUGAUCGAAAGAUGAAAAGCACUUUGGAAAGAGAGUUAAAAAGCACGUGAAAUUGUUGAAAGGGAAGCGCUUGCAGCCAGACUUGCCUGUAGUUGCUCAUCCGGGUUUCUACCCGGUGCACUCUUCUAUAGGCAGGCCAGCAUCAGUUUGGGCGGUUGGAUAAAGGUCUCUGUCAUGUACCUCCUUUCGGGGAGAACUUAUAGGGGAGACGACAUGCAACCAGCCCGGACUGAGGUCCGCGCAUCUGCUAGGAUGCUGGCGUAAUGGCUGUAAGCGGCCCGUCUUGAAACACGGACCAAGGAGUCUAACAUCUAUGCGAGUGUUUGGGUGUCAAGCCCGAGCGCGUAAUGAAAGUGAACGGAGGUGGGAACCUUUCGGGGUGCACCAUCGACCGAUCCUGAUGUCUUCGGAUGGAUUUGAGUAAGAGCAUAGCUGUUGGGACCCGAAAGAUGGUGAACUAUGCUUGAAUAGGGUGAAGCCAGAGGAAACUCUGGUGGAGGCUCGCAGCGGUUCUGACGUGCAAAUCGAUCGUCAAAUUUGGGCAUAGGGGCGAAAGACUAAUCGAACUAUCUAGUAGCUGGUUCCUGCCGA